UACGAAGGGGGCGAGCGUUGUUCGGAAUUACUGGGCGUAAAGGGCGCGCAGGCGGCGCACCAAGUCAGGCGUGAAAGCCCCGGGCUCAACCUGGGAAUUGCGCUUGAUACUGGGGUGCUGGAGUUCGGGAGAGGAGAGUGGAAUUCCCAGUGUAGAGGUGGAAUGCGUAGAUAGUGGGAAGAACAGCGGGGGCGAAGGCGGCUCUCUGGACCGAGACUGACGCUGAGGCGCGAAAGCGUGGGGAGCAAACAGG
rnacentral:rRNA from 1 species